GAGUUUGAUCCUGGCUCAGGACGAACGCUGGCGGCGUGCCUAAUACAUGCAAGUCGAGCGGACCGAAAAGAAGCUUGCUUCGAUUCGGUUAGCGGCGGACGGGUGAGUAACACGUGGGCAACCUGCCCUGUAGACGGGGAUAACACCGAGAAAUCGGUGCUAAUACCGGAUAACACGAAAGACCGCAUGGUCUUUCGUUGAAAGGCGGCGCAAGCUGUCGCUACAGGAUGGGCCCGCGGCGCAUUAGCUAGUUGGUGAGGUAACGGCUCACCAAGGCGACGAUGCGUAGCCGACCUGAGAGGGUGAUCGGCCACACUGGGACUGAGACACGGCCCAGACUCCUACGGGAGGCAGCAGUAGGGAAUCUUCCGCAAUGGACGAAAGUCUGACGGAGCAACGCCGCGUGAGCGAAGAAGGUCUUCGGAUUGUAAAGCUCUGUUGUUAGGGAAGAACAAGUACCGCAGUAACUGGCGGUACCUUGACGGUACCUAACGAGAAAGCCACGGCUAACUACGUGCCAGCAGCCGCGGUAAUACGUAGGUGGCAAGCGUUGUCCGGAAUUAUUGGG
rnacentral:rRNA from 1 species